rnacentral:rRNA from 1 species
GAUGAACGCUGGCGGCGUGCCUAAUACAUGCAAGUCGAGCGAACAGACGAGGAGCUUGCUACUCUGACGUUAGCGGCGGACGGGUGAGUAACACGUGGAUAACCUACCUAUAAGACUGGGAUAACUUCGGGAAACCGGAGCUAAUACCGGAUAAUAUAUUGAACCGCAUGGUUCAAUAGUGAAAGACGGUUUUGCUGUCACUUAUAGAUGGAUCCGCGCCGCAUUAGCUAGUUGGUAAGGUAACGGCUUACCAAGGCAACGAUGCGUAGCCGACCCGAGAGGGUGAUCGGCCACACUGGAACUGAGACACGGUCCAGACUCCUACGGGAGGCAGCAGUAGGGAAUCUUCCGCAAUGGGCGAAAGCCUGACGGAGCAACGCCGCGUGAGUGAUGAAGGUCUUCGGAUCGUAAAACUCUGUUAUUAGGGAAGAACAAAUGUGUAAGUAACUAUGCACGUCUUGACGGUACCUAAUCAGAAAGCCACGGCUAACUACGUG